rnacentral:rRNA from 1 species
CUCGUAGGCGGCCAACUAAGUCAGACGUGAAAUCCCUCGGCUUAACCGGGGAACUGCGUCUGAUACUGGAUGGCUUGAGGUUGGGAGAGGGAUGCGGAAUUCCAGGUGUAGCGGUGAAAUGCGUAGAUAUCUGGAGGAACACCGGUGGCGAAGGCGGCAUCCUGGACCAAUUCUGACGCUGAGUGAGCGAAAGCCAGGGGAGCAAACG